rnacentral:lncRNA from 1 species
AAAAUACAACUAUUUUGAGCACUCAAUCAAACAAUAAUUCUUAUAACGUAACAUAGAGAAUCAUUAAAACGACUUGGAAGAAAAAAGAGAAAGAACCAUGGUAGUCUUGGAAGUAUAUGAGGAUGGAGUAUCGGUUCUAGAGGAUGCAGAUGCAAUACUCAUUGCCUUGAGAGCCUGCUCGCUCACGCUCUUGCCUGUUUUGCAAUAACUGGUAAAGUUUUCACAGUUGUUAUCAAGCAAGUCGUAGUCACCAAACCCCUUCCCAUGAACCUUAUCUUUGUUGAAAAUCUCGGUGGCAAGACAUACAGUUUCCUCGUUUGAAUAGCAACACUCAAUACUACAAGUUCCUUUCUGUUUGAAUUUGAAGUGGAGUGGAGAGACCCCUUAUUCGAAGCGAAGCAGGUGGUGGUCUUUUAGGAAGCAAUCGAUGCAGGUUCUCAGCACUCCCCGUUUCGAGUUUGGGUCAUGCCUGCACUUUCCACAUGGAGACUCUCUAGAUGAGCUACUACUUUUUGGAUCAUUUGUUGCAUUGAUAUUUGAAUGAAUAUCUAUAAAAUAGACGAUUUGGAUUAAUGAAAUACAAUGUAUAGUAGAAUCUACAAGAGUAUCCCUCAAAUAAGUUUAUUUGAUAAAUCCCUCAACUGAAGCUUACUCUAUAUAUAUACUCACCAUGGUGGGAAUAUCUAUGCCAGCGUCUAUAAGCAUAGAUGUGAUCUCCUGGGCGGAGCUCCUCCCUAAAAAUCCUGUUUGAAAAUAUUCCCAUCUCGCUUAAUCCUGUUUGAAAAUAUUCCCAUCUC